ACUGAAUAGAUACCCUGGUAGUCCACGCCCUAAACGAUGUCUACUAGUUGUUCGGGUUUUAAUUAACUUGGUAAACGCAGCUAAACGCGUGAAAGUAGACCGCCGUGGGGAGUACGGUCGCAAGAAUUAAACUACAAAGGAAUUGACGGGACCCGCACAAGCGGUGGAUGAUGUGGAUUAAUUCGAUGCAACGACGAAAAACCUUACCUACCCUUGACAUGUACGGAAGCCACGAGAGAUCGAGGUGUGCUCGAAAGAGAGCCGUAACACAGGUGCUGCACGGCUGUCGUCAGCUCGUGUCGUGAGAUGUUGGGUUAAGUCCCGCAACGAGCGCAACCCUUGUCAUUAGUUGCUACGAAAGGGCACUCUAAUGAGACUGCCGGUGACAAACCGGAGGAAGGUGGGGAUGACGUCAAGUCCUCAUGGCCCUUAUGGGUAGGGCUUCACACGUCAUACAAUGGUACAUACAGAGGGCCGCCAACCCGGCAGGGGGUAGCUAAUCCCAGAAAGUGUAUCGUAGUCC
rnacentral:rRNA from 1 species